rnacentral:rRNA from 1 species
GGACAGUGUCUGGCGGGUAGUUUGACUGGGGCGGUCUCCUCCCAAAGCGUAACGGAGGAGCACGAAGGUUGGCUAAUCACGGUCGGACAUCGUGAGGUUAGUGCAAAGGCAUAAGCCAGCUUAACUGCGAGAGUGACGGUUCGAGCAGGUACGAAAGUAGGUCUUAGUGAUCCGGUGGUUCUGCAUGGAAGGGCCAUCGCUCAACGGAUAAAAGGUACUCCGGGGAUAACAGGCUGAUACCGCCCAAGAGUUCAUAUCGACGGCGGUGUUUGGCACCUCGAUGUCGGCUCAUCACAUCCUGGGGCUGAAGUAGGUCCCAAGGGUAUGGCUGUUCGCCAUUUAAAGUGGUACGCGAGCUGGGUUUAGAACGUCGUGAGACAGUUCGGUCCCUAUCUGCCGUGGGCGCAGGAAGAUUGAAAGGGGCUGCUCCUAGUACGAGAGGACCGGAGUGGACGCACCGCUGGUGUACGGGUUGUCAUGCCAAUGGCAUCGCCCGGUAGCUAAGUGCGGGAGAGAUAACCGCUGAAAGCAUCUAAGCGGGAAACUUGCCUUGAGAUGAGUCUUCCCUUGACUUAGAGUCACGGAAGGAACGUUUAAGACGAAGACGUGGAUAGGCUGGGUGUGUAAGUGCAGCGAUGCAUUGAGCUGACCAGUACUAAUGAACCGAGCGGCUUAACCUUACAACGCCGAAGGGGUUUUG